GGUUUGGCACCUCGAUGUCGGCUCAUCGCAUCCUGGGGCUGUAGUCGGUCCCAAGGGUUGGGCUGUUCGCCCAUUAAAGCGGUACGCGAGCUGGGUUCAGAACGUCGUGAGACAGUUCGGUCCCUAUCCGUCGUGGGCGUAGGAAAUUUGAGAGGAGCUGUCCUUAGUACGAGAGGACCGGGAUGGACAUACCUCUGGUGUACCAGUUGUCGUGCCAACGGCAUAGCUGGGUAGCUAUGUAUGGACGGGAUAAGUGCUGAAAGCAUCUAAGCAUGAAGCCCCCCUCGAGAUGAGAUUUCCCAACUUCGGUUAUAAGAUCCCUCAAAGAUGAUGAGGUGAAUAGGUUCGAGGUGGAAGCGUAGCGAUACGUGGAGCUGACGAAUACUAAUCGAUCGAAGACUUAAUCAACAU
rnacentral:rRNA from 1 species